GAGGUGGCGCCGUGGAGCCGCGCAGGGUGUAGGACGACUUUGAAGGGGCCGCGGCCGCCAGGCUCCGUGGGUUUUGGUUCAGGCGCCGGUGUGCCCAAGGAUGUUGUAGAACUCUGUCUAGCCACAGCGUGGGGAUGGGGAGCUCCCGCCGACAGACUCUGUUGCUUUCUGGCUUGGCCGCUGGUUGUCCCUUGCCCCUGGAAGGUCACCAUAUUGAUGUCAAACUCAGCAUGGAUGCCCAAUUGGCAGAGUGCACUAGAGCCCAGAACUCAUGGACUCAAGUCAGCCUCCCAAGUCCCUAGGACUACAG